AUGCAGGCUGUUCAGCGAGGUUGAGUCUUUGUGACUCUUGCCUUUCCUGUGAUGUCUGCUAGAGAAAUUUGAUGUGGUUUGAGGCCUGCUGUGGUGCCUUCACAGCAUGGUUAUAUAAUCUUCAAACAUUU